rnacentral:rRNA from 1 species
UCAUUUAAAGAAAGCGUAAUAGCUCACUGGUCGAGUCGGCCUGCGCGGAAGAUGUAACGGGGCUAAACCAUGCACCGAAGCUGCGGCAGCGACACUAUGUGUUGUUGGGUAGGGGAGCGUUCUGUAAGCCUGUGAAGGUGUACUGUGAGGUAUGCUGGAGGUAUCAGAAGUGCGAAUGCUGACAUAAGUAACGAUAAAGCGGGUGAAAAGCCCGCUCGCCGGAAGACCAAGGGUUCCUGUCCAACGUUAAUCGGGGCAGGGUGAGUCGACCCCUAAGGCGAGGCCGAAAGGCGUAGUCGAUGGGAAACAGGUUAAUAUUCCUGUACUUGGUGUUACUGCGAAGGGGGGACGGAGAAGGCUAUGUUGGCCGGGCGACGGUUGUCCCGGUUUAAGCGUGUAGGCUGGUUUUCCAGGCAAAUCCGGAAAAUCAAGGCUGAGGCGUGAUGACGAGGCACUACGGUGCUGAAGCGACAAAUGCCCUGCUUCCAGGAAAAGCCUCUAAGCAUCAGGUAACAUCAAAUCGUACCCCAAACCGACACAGGUGGUCAGGUAGAGAAUACCAAGGCGCUUGAGAGAACUCGGGUGAAGGAACUAGGCAAAAUGGUGCCGUAACUUCGGGAGAAGGCACGCUGAUAUGUAGGUGAAGCGACUUGCUCGUGGAGCUGAAAUCAGUCGAAGAUACCAGCUGGCUGCAACUGUUUAUUAAAAACACAGCACUGUGCAAACACGAAAGUGGACGUAUACGGUGUGACGCCUGCCCGGUGCCGGAAGGUUAAUUGAUGGGGUUAGCGGUAACGCGAAGCUCUUGAUCGAAGCCCCGGUAAACGGCGGCCGUAACUAUAACGGUCCUAAGGUAGCGAAAUUCCUUGUCGGGUAAGUUCCGACCUGCACGAAUGGCGUAAUGAUGGCCAGGCUGUCUCCACCCGAGACUCAGUGAAAUUGAACUCGCUGUGAAGAUGCAGUGUACCCGCGGCAAGACGGAAAGACCCCGUGAACCUUUACUAUAGCUUGACACUGAACAUUGAGCCUUGAUGUGUAGGAUAGGUGGGAGGCUUUGAAGUGUGGACGCCAGUCUGCAUGGAGCCGACCUUGAAAUACCACCCUUUAAUGUUUGAUGUUCUAACGUGGGCCCCUUACCGGGGUUGCGGACAGUGUCUGGUGGGUAGUUUGACUGGGGCGGUCUCCUCCUAAAGAGUAACGGAGGAGCACGAAGGUUGGCUAAUCCUGGUCGGACAUCAGGAGGUUAGUGCAAUGGCAUAAGCCAGCUUGACUGCGAGCGUGACGGCGCGAGCAGGUGCGAAAGCAGGUCAUAGUGAUCCGGUGGUUCUGAAUGGAAGGGCCAUCGCUCAACGGAUAAAAGGUACUCCGGGGAUAACAGGCUGAUACCGCCCAAGAGUUCAUAUCGACGGCGGUGUUUGGCACCUCGAUGUCGGCUCAUCACAUCCUGGGGCUGAAGUAGGUCCCAAGGGUAUGGCUGUUCGCCAUUUAAAGUGGUACGCGAGCUGGGUUUAGAACGUCGUGAGACAGUUCGGUCCCUAUCUGCCGUGGGCGCUGGAGAACUGAGGGGGGCUGCUCCUAGUACGAGAGGACCGGAGUGGACGCAUCACUGGUGUUCGGGUUGUCAUGCCAAUGGCACUGCCCGGUAGCUAAAUGCGGAAGAGAUAAGUGCUGAAAGCAUCUAAGCACGAAACUUGCCCCGAGAUGAGUUCUCCCUGACUCCUUGAGAGUCCUGAAGGAACGUUGAAGACGACGACGUUGAUAGGCCGGGUGUGUAAGCGCAGCGAUGCGUUGAGCUAACCGGUACUAAUGAACCGUGAGGCUUAACCUU